UCCACGCCCUAAACGAUGUUCACUAGUCGUCGGAAUGCUAGUCAUUUCGGUGAUGCACUUAACAGAUUAAGUGAACCGCCUGGGGAGUACGGUCGCAAGAUUAAAACUCAAAGGAAUAGACGGGGACCCGCACAAGUGGUGGAGCAUGUGGUUUAAUUCGAAGAUACGCGAAGAACCUUACCUAGCCUUGACAUUGAUUGAACUCAGUAGAGAUACAGAGGUGCCCUUCGGGG
rnacentral:rRNA from 1 species